rnacentral:rRNA from 1 species
AACGAACGCUUGCUGCAUGCUUUAUACAUGCAAGUCGAACGAAGGCCCUAGCUUGCUAGGUGUCCUUAGUGGCGCACGGGUGAGUAACACGUGGGAACAUACCUCAUAGUACGGAAUAACUGCGGGAAACUGUAGCUAAUACCGUAUAUUCCAGAAAUGGGAAAGAUUUAUCGCUAUGAGAUUGGCCCGCGCAAGAUUAGCUUGUUGGUAAGGUAAUGGCUUACCAAGGCUCCGAUCUUUAGCUGGUUUGAGAGGAUGAUCAGCCACACUGGGACUGAGACACGGCCCAGACUCCUACGGGAGGCAGCAGUAGGGAAUAUUGGACAAUGGGGGAAACCCUGAUCCAGCAAUGCAGCGUGAGUGACGAAGGACUUAGGGUUGUAAAACUCUUUCAUCGGUGAGGAUAAUGACAGUAGCCGAAGAAGAAGGACCGGCUAAUUCCGUGCCAGCAGCCGCGGUAAUACGGAAGGUCCUAGCGUUGUUCGGAAUUACUGGGCGUAAAGCGCAUGUAGGCGGAACAAAAAGUUAGAAGUGAAAUCCCUGGGCUCAACCUAGGAAUGGCUUUUAAAACUUUUGUUCUGGAAUUCAGGAGAGGAAAAUGGAAUUUCCAGUGUAGAGGUGAAAUUCGUAGAUAUUGGAAGGAACACCAGUGGCGAAGGCGAUUUUCUGGACUGAUAUUGACGCUGAGAUGCGAAGGCAUGGGUAGCAAACGGGAUUAGAUACCCCGGUAGUCCAUGCAGUAAACGAUGGGUGCUAGUCGUCGGACUUUUGUUCGGUGUCGUAGCUAACGCGUUAAGCACCCCGCCUGGGGAGUACGGUCGCAAGAUUAAAACUCAAAUAAAUUGACGGGGACCCGCACAAGCAGUGGAGCAUGUGGUUUAAUUCGACGCAACGCGCAGAACCUUACCAGCGUUUGACAUGGGAAGUGCCGGUUACAGAAUGGUAACCUUCAGUUCGGCUGGCUUCCAACAGGUGCUGCAUGGCUGUCGUCAGCUCGUGUCGUGAGAUGUUGGGUUAAGUCCCGCAACGAGGGCAACCCUUAUCGUUAGUUACUAACAG